CUCUUGGAAGACCUCUUGAACCCCUGAAGUGCCUGGCAUCCGCUAUCCAGGAGCCCUGCUCCUCUCUCAGUGGCCUCACACCUCUCUCUUUCUCUUCUCCGGUUCCGUGCGACAUCCUCAGCAAAUACCGAAUCACCACCCUUUCCCUCUGUGGCUCACAAGCCUUUCUAAAGGCUAAAACUUGUAUUAGAUUAGGAUUCUCAAUCCUAAUCGAAUCCAAACACAGCUAAAAUAACCCAGAUCAAGGCCCCAAAUCGUCGGAUC
rnacentral:lncRNA from 1 species